rnacentral:rRNA from 1 species
CCUACGGGUGGCAGCAGUAGGGAAUCUUCCACAAUGGGCGAAAGCCUGAUGGAGCAACGCCGCGUGGGUGAAGAAGGUCUUCGGAUCGUAAAACCCUGUUGUUAGAGAAGAAAGUGCGUGCGCGUAACUGUUCACGUUUCGACGGUAUCUAACCAGAAAGCCACGGCUAAAUACGUCCCCGCAGCCGCGGUAAUACGUAGGUGGCAAGCGUUAUCCGGAUUUAUUGGGCGUAAAGGGAACGCAGGCGGUCUUUUAAGUCUGAUGUGAAAGCCUUCGGCUUAACCGGAGUAGUGCAUUGGAAACUGGGAGGCUUGAGUGCAGAAGAGGAGAGUGGAACUCGAUGUGUAGCGGUGAAAUGCGUAGAUAUAUGGAAGAACACCAGUGGCGAAGGCGGCUCACUGGUCUGUAACUGACGCUGAGGUUCGAAAGCGUGGGUAGCAAACAGGAUUAGAUACCCGAGUAGUC